UACGUAGGUGGCAAGCGUUGUCCGGAAUUAUUGGGCGUAAAGCGCGCGCAGGUGGUUCCUUAAGUCUGAUGUGAAAGCCCACGGCUCAACCGUGGAGGGUCAUUGGAAACUGGGGAACUUGAGUGCAGGAGAGAAGAGUGGAAUUCCACGUGUAGCGGUGAAAUGCGUAGAGAUGUGGAGGAACACCAGUGGCGAAGGCGGCUCUCUGGAACGGUACUGACGCUGAGACGCGAAAGCGUGGGGAGCGAACAGG
rnacentral:rRNA from 1 species